rnacentral:lncRNA from 13 species
GACUGUUAGAAACUUUCUUCUCUCGCGUUCAGCCUGACUAUGAACCUGCUCUUUCUGCUGGUCCUGGCUUUUCACCCUGACCUGGCCAUGGGAGGCAGAGCCCAGCGCAAACAAUGGCAGGCUGAGAGCAGUCUGAGACCAUAUCUGGGUAGAGUGGACCCAGUCCUACUAUGUGAGCUUCUGAAGUGUCACAGUCCAAUGGGCUCCUGGUGCCAGGUGGUGCAGGACAACGGAGUCCUCUUCCCAAAGUGUGUGUGUCCUAAGAUCUGCCCACGGCAGGGGGCACCAGUGUGCAGUGUUCUGGGAAGGACCUAUGGGAACGAGUGUCUGCUGCAUAGAGAAGCCUGCCGCAAGAGACGUCACAUUGGACUGGCUCAUAAAGGGCCUUGUCUGGUUCCCAAGGUAAACUGUACAGAGGAGGAGUAUGGCCAGUUCCCAUACCGCCUCAUGGACUGGUUCCUCCUAUUGAGUCGCAUGGGAGAGACCUACGCCCCCUACGCCCCGCCUCAGAGCUGCCUGAGCCACACCCAGCGCUCCCAACUAGCCCAGCGGAGGUUUGGCCUGCUGGACAAGAACAAGGAUGGAAAGCUGAGCCGGAAAGACCUGAGGAAGCUACGCUACAAAAGAAUGCCUCUAGAGCACUGUGCUACCUCCUUCUUCCAGUCGUGUGACCAUAACAAGAACACUAAGGUGACCCUGCAUGAAUGGAUCUCCUGUCUGGUGGAUCGCUCAGAGAUCUGGUUCCACAGCUUCAUGUCUAUGAAAAUGGGAUCCGGUAAGCUGUGUCCCAUGAAGACUGACAACCACCUUUGACCUGGAUAUGAACACCUCUCUUCUCGCAUUGUGUAUUAUUGUGUUAUCAUUUUUUAAAUGUUCUGUUACUUCUCAUUUUUAUCUCUCUGCGUUGGGCCCGUCAGUAAGCAUUUCAAUGUUAGUCUACACCUGUUGUUUAUGAAGCAUGUGACAAAUAACAUUUGAUUAUUUUUAAUUUGAUUUGUCUACAUGUGCAUCUGUGUAUCAAUGCUAUCUACAUUCUACAAUCAUCAGCAUCAAUUAAUUAUCCACUGCCUGUAUCAUAUUUCCACUACUCCAUCUAACGGUCACACUCAGUACUGCAUUUGUUUUUGAUUAAUGACAUCAUCUGUUUUGAGAAGUCCACUGUAGAUUUGUCUGUGUGGAGAAAUGGCCUGUAAUAAAUGUCUAUGAGUCUUGGCUACCAUCUUAGUGUCUAUAUGGGGAAGGCCGGAGGAGAGAGGGGCUCAUUAAGAACCAGGAGGACGUGUUGCAUGGAUCAAGCAUUCAAUUACUGUGGAGGGAGAGAUAGAUGGUGAAAGCCUCACAGAGACAAUGGGAUACUGUGAUGGAUGGAGGGAAGAGAUAGAAAAGAGGAAAGGAAGCUUAGUGUGAGAAGCCGUUACCAGGGAAGGGAACAAGGGAUACUAGGGGGAGACGGGGGAAGAAAGAGGAGUGUGGUAAUGCACUGUAAACGAAGGAGGGAAGUAAGAACGUGUGUUUAUGGAAGGGGGGGUAAUGCACUGUAAGUGGGGAGUAGAGAUGGCGGUGGGUAAAGUAAUGCAUGAAAAAUGGAUCAGAAAUGAGAGAAAGAACAAAAGGGGGAUGGAAUAGUCUGAGAGAAGUGGGAGAAGAAGAGUAACUGAGAAGAGGUUUGAUGUUGUGGAAAUAGUAGCCAUGGCGUAUGAUAUUUGUCAACAGGAAGCAGGAAAUGAAGAAAUAAUGCCCUCUUGUAAGGUCAAAGAGCCAAAUCAUC